UACGAGGGGUGCAAGCGUUGCUCGGAAUUAUUGGGCGUAAAGGGUAGGUAGGUGGUCUUAUUUGUCUGGGGUGAAAGCCUCGAGCUUAACUCGAGAAGUGCCCCAGAAACGGUAAGACUAGAGUCCUGGAGAGGGUCGUGGAAUUCCCGGUGUAGCGGUGAAAUGCGUAGAGAUCGGGAGGAACACCAGAGGCGAAGGCGGCGACCUGGACAGGUACUGACACUCAACUACGAAAGCGUGGGGAGCAAACAGG
rnacentral:rRNA from 1 species